CGGACCGUCGCGCGUCGGUCUACUGAGCAAUAUAACCCGCUCUAUAGAAGAUCUUACCUUUGUCGU
rnacentral:pre_miRNA from 1 species